AUGAUGCUAGCAGAAAUAGGUUUUCUGUUAGCUACGCAUCUGGUUUAAAACAUGAUAUGACUACUUGCUUUGGAAUAGUAACGCCUUGAUAUUAUCUGAUCCUAUCUCAUGUAUAUUUUUGUUAUUUCUAGACAAAGCUUUAGGAAUCGAGUUCACUACAACUCGAAGUCUUGUGCAUGGAGGAGAAUUGAGAUAUUAUCUGAUCCUAUCUCAUGUACUCGAAGUCUUGUGCAUGGAGGAAAAUUUGUGAUGAAUUCUUAAAUUGAUUAGAAAGACUGGAUUUGUAUAACUUUGUUUAUGUCGCUGGAUGCAGAUCUUUUAUAUCCUUCCAAUACCUUGAACUAACUAUUUUCUCUGCAGUUACAUAUAUGCAUAUGUUAUGCUCAUUUGCCGGGCUUCACCAAAGUUUGGCCGACCUUUUGGUGUCUAUUAUUUGUGUUCCUGGCAAACUUUGCUAUCAAUUCUGUUCCCAUAUCCUCCGGCAUGUGAAAUCCCCCCUCAAGAGGCGAGCCAUUAGUGUUUGAUGUUGGCAUCAUCGUUGGAAUAUCUUCUGUGCUACUCUCUACACGAUGUUUCUUCUACAUGAUAGCACUUGACGUCUACAUGAUAGCACUUGAAGUCUACAUGAUGUUUCUUGUAUUCAUACCUCAAACCAUUUGUUUAGCUUAGUUUGAACAAAAAAUAUUAUUGUCUUACAUGUAAAUAAUGUUUACUAAUGUAGCUGGAUGCUACUGAAUGCAUGUACGAAAGUCAAAAUACUA